UCGGGGUUGGGAGUUCGAACCUCGAACUUCGAACCUCGAACUUCGAGAAUAGCGGCGGACGGGUGAGUAACACGUGGAUAACCUACCCAUUAGACCAGGAUAACACCGGGAAACUGGUGCUAAUACCGGAUAAGCUCUUUAGAGUAAAAGCCUUAAAGAGGAAAGGGGAAACUCACUAAUGGAUGGGUCCGCGUCCUAUUAGCUAGUUGGUAGGGUAACGGCCUACCAAGGCGACGAUGGGUAGCCGGCCUGAGAGGGUGACCGGCCACACUGGGACUGAGACACGGCCCAGACUCCUACGGGAGGCAGCAGUGGGGAAUAUUCCGCANUGGGGGAAACCCUGACGGAGCAAUGCCGCGUGAGUGAAGAAGGCCUUUGGGUCGUAAAACUCUGUCUUGAGGGACGAAAAAAAUGACGGUACCUCAAAAGAAAGCCCCGGCUAACUACGUGCCAGCAGCCGCGGUAAAACGUAGGGGGCGAGCGUUGUCCGGAAUUACUGGGCGUAAAGGGCGUGUAGGCGGCCUGUGUAGUCUGUGGUGAAAACCCGGGGCUUA
rnacentral:rRNA from 1 species